UACGUAGGUGGCGAGCGUUGUCCGGAUUUACUGGGCGUAAAGGGAGCGUAGGCGGACUUUUAAGUGAGAUGUGAAAUACUCGGGCUCAACUUGAGUGCUGCAUUUCAAACUGGAAGUCCAGAGUGCAGGAGAGGAGAAUGGAAUUCCUAGUGUAGCGGUGAAAUGCGUAGAGAUUAGGAAGAACCCCAGUGGCGAAGGCGAUUCUCUGGACUGUAACUGACGCUGAGGCUCGAAAGCGUGGGGAGCAAACAGG
rnacentral:rRNA from 1 species